GGGCCACCCACCGCUGUACAGGCAUCACAAGUGACAAGAAGUCACGUCGAGCACGCUCUAAGUGAAGCUAGGCAGAGAGCCCGCAGCUGGAGAGAGCCCCCACGUAGCUACACUAAUACAGCCAUGCGGGGGGCAGGCGCCGCAUCUUGGGAUACCUUUCCUGUGUACAGUGAAGGGAACUUUGGCUACCCUCAGUCGCUGCAUCCUGAUUCUGAAAUAACACAGCCAACUUGCAGCACAGCAAGCUUCACUGGGAGAAUGCA